GAACAAACCGGUUCAACACCCAGCUCGUUAUCUCUGCCUCUCAUCUCUCUCAAGUCCCAACUCCAAAUCAAACCCAAAAAUAACAGCCCCCAAGCUUUCUCUCUGCCUCUCAUCUCCUCCAUCACGCUCUGUUCUCUCUCUCGUCUCUCAUCUGCAAUAGAUUGCAUCAGCUAUAAUUGCUCGAGCAAUCAGGACCUUCUCAGCUAGAGGCAUGGACCCACAAAGAAUGCACUUCCUGAGGAUGAAUGGUUUGUUGAAACUGCAAAGACAGCCAUCAAUAAACUUCUGUUAGGAACAUCUAGGUCAGACAUCUGAGAUUAACGAGGACCAUAUUAUCCUACAUGACGAGAUGGCCUCCGACUCCAACGACACUGUUUUUUCCCUUUCAUCAGUAGAAUCAUUUGAAUCUUUUGCUUCUACAAGAUGAGCAAGGCCCUCAUUGGUUA